rnacentral:rRNA from 1 species
AGGACGAACGCUGGCGGCGUGCUUAACACAUGCAAGUCGAACGGAAAGGCCCGCUUGCGGGUACUCGAGUGGCGAACGGGUGAGUAACACGUGGGCAACCUGCCCUCAGCUUCGGGAUAACAUUUGGAAACAGGUGCUAAUACCGGAUAAUAACCUUUCAUCGCAUGGUGUGGGGUUCAAAGUUUUUCGGCUGGGGAUGGGCCCGCGGCCUAUCAGCUUGUUGGUGGGGUAAUGGCCUACCAAGGCGACGACGGGUAGCCGGCCUGAGAGGGCGACCGGCCACACUGGGACUGAGACACGGCCCAGACUCCUACGGGAGGCAGCAGUGGGGAAUAUUGCGCAAUGGGCGGAAGCCUGACGCAGCGACGCCGCGUGAGGGAUGACGGCCUUCGGGUUGUAAACCGUCUUUCAGCUCUGACGAAGCGCAAGUGACGGUAGGAGCAGAAGAAGCACCGGCCAACGUACGUGCCAGCAGCCGC